rnacentral:rRNA from 1 species
GACGAACGCUAGCGGCGUGCCUAAUACAUGCAAGUUGAGCGCUGAAGGUUGGUACUUGUACCGACUGGAUGAGCAGCGAACGGGUGAGUAACGCGUGGGGAAUCUGCCUUUGAGCGGGGGACAACAUGUGGAAACGAAUGCUAAUACCGCAUAAAAACUUUAAACACAAGUUUUAAGUUUGAAAGAUGCAAAUGCAUCACUCAAAGAUGAUCCCGCGUUGUAUUAGCUAGUUGGUGAGGUAAAGGCUCACCAAGGCGAUGAUACAUAGCCGACCUGAGAGGGUGAUCGGCCACAUUGGGACUGAGACACGGCCCAAACUCCUACGGGAGGCAGCAGUAGGGAAUCUUCGGCAAUGGACGAAAGUCUGACCGAGCAACGCCGCGUGAGUGAAGAAGGUUUUCGGAUCGUAAAACUCUGUUGGUAGAGAAGAACGUUGGUGAGAGUGGAAAGCUCAUCAAGUGACGGUAACUACCCAGAAAGGGACGGCUAACUACGUGCCAGCAGCCGCAGUAA